rnacentral:lncRNA from 1 species
CUAAAUUUUGCAUUUUCUAAUUUUAGUUUAAGGCAAAAAAUAUUGGUUUAAUCGAUUUUUCGUAAAAUUUCCCCGGUAGAUUUUUUUUAAAAACAGAUAUGUCAAAGCUAUGAACUUUUCGAACAUUUUAAGGUAAAAUAAAAUGGGGGUCACCAGGCUUUUAAAAAAGUUACGAGCUUUUGUUUAACCCCUCUACCCCAUAAGGUCUGAUUUCAUUGCACUCCAUUAAUUACUUAAUUGUGAAUUCUUUAUUGAUGGCUUUAAUAAAAUAAUGUUUGUAAUUAUAUCAAUAAACGAUUGCUGAAUAUAAAUGUGGUUAUCGUAUUACUGUUUGUUAUCAAAAAGUGAAAUUUUGAUUAUUUUGGUGAAAUACGGUAAUUUUGUCUGGCGCGAGUUGCUUCCCUCUAAUUUGGCGCCAUUAUCGGACCAGAGGAAUUUCAAGGUCGUCAUUGCCGAGCAGCAUACUAUAUUGAUGAAUACG